rnacentral:rRNA from 1 species
UACGAAGGGGGCUAGCGUUGCUCGGAAUCACUGGGCGUAAAGCGCACGUAGGCGGAUCUUUAAGUCAGAGGUGAAAUCCCAAGGCUCAACCUUGGAACUGCCUUUGAUACUGGGGAUCUUGAGUCCGGGAGAGGUGAGUGGAACUGCGAGUGUAGAGGUGAAAUUCGUAGAUAUUCGCAAGAACACCAGUGGCGAAGGCGGCUCACUGGCCCGAUACUGACGCUGAGGAGCGAAAGCGUGGGGAGCGAACAGG